GGAAGAGAAAGUAGUCCAGAGAGUGGUUGUCCGAUGUCCUGCAUGAACUCUUGAAUACAAACUGGACUUGCUUUUCCCUUCUGUUCUGGUGGCUACACUGACAGAGAGAGAGAUGAAGGCCCGUCACGCUCUUGUGUCCUUGUCCUCCAGAGCUGUGGAGUGUGACAAUGGUGUUUGUGUCCAGUGCUGUCAAACGCCAUUAUCACACUAAAUAGCUACGGUGAGAAGCUUCCCCUAGCCCAGGGACUCCAGGUCACGGGGAGACGGUACACCGUGUGAAGCCCCGCUGUUCACCCUGCUUACCCUCAUCCUGACCUCCUCCUCUACCCCCUGUCUAUAUGUUCAGAGGUAUUGAUCACAGGUCACCACCAGUCAGGUAUACGCAGAAGGAAUAAAGGGAUGUGCAACCAUUA